GACGAACGCUGGCGGCGUGCUUAACACAUGCAAGUCGAACGGUGAAGCGCCUUCCUUUUUGGUGGGUGUGGAUGAGUGGCGAACGGGUGAGUAACACGUGAGUAACCUGCCCCCUUCUUCUGGAUAACCGCAUGAAAGUGUGGCUAAUCUGGGAUCUUCUGUGUCUGUUGCAUGAUGAGUCUGGGAAAGAUAUUGUUUCGGUGGGGGAUGGGCUCGCGGCCUAUCAGCUUGUUGGUGGGGUGAUGGCCUACCAAGGCGGUGACGGGUUGCCGGCCUGAGAGGGUGGACGGUCACACUGGGACUGAGACACGGCCCAGACUCCUACGGGAGGCAGCAGUGGGGAAUAUUGCGCAAUGGGCGCAAGCCUGAUGCAGCGACGCCGCGUGAGGGAUGGAGGCCUUCGGGUUGUGAACCUCUUUCGCCAGUGAAGCAGGCCUGCCUCGUUUGUGGGUGGGUUGACGGUAGCUGGAUAAGAAGCGCCGGCUAACUACGUG
rnacentral:rRNA from 1 species